GGCCAACUGAAAGGAUUAAAUGAAAUAAAAAUAAAGUAAAGAGGAUUGUGGGUCCCACGCAAAACCACAAACAUCAUCUUAAAUGAAUUGAAGACUUCUUCUUCUCGUUCUUAUCAACUGAAACAAUACCCAGAACAAAUUUUAAUCCUGUUCGGUCAAAUUUUAGCUCAAUUCUAAAGAUCUUCUGCUACUUCCGUUUAUCCAUGGAUUUAAGGUAAAUUCUUUCUUAAUCUCUUAUGGCUUCUUUGUAUAUUGCUCACAAAAAUAAAUUAUAUUUCAGAUAUCUCAUAAUUAUAGAUUCUAGAUGUUGAAGCUCUUCUACACUUGAAAUUAGUAGUACCAAAAUACAAAAUUCACUUGUCAUAUUAGUGUAAUAUCCUGCAGUAAAUUAUUUAAUAACACCCCUAGGAAGAGAACAAAAGUAGAUUCAAAUAUAUUCACACAAAAUAGAGGGUCCUAUUAUGCUUCAAUUGAUGCCGACACUGGUUAUUGUUUGAGCUGGGUGUUGGCUGCAACAUGCUGUCUGCAAGCUUGAUUCUUGAGUCAACAAUUGGGUGAAAGUACUAUUUGAAUUUUCAUAUAGCUGCAUAUUUGAAAUUGAAAGGAAAAUACAUAUUAAAAUUAUUAGAUGACAGAAAGGUGCAAAAACCAUUAACAAAAAAUAUUUAACUUGACAUGUAUAGAGAUUAAACCUCAAAACGUAAUCCCGUGGACGCAUGUGGUAGUCCUACUUUAGCUUUUGAUGCCUUUUGAGAUGUCUUUCUCCUUCUUUGCUGAGUAAUUGACUUUAAUCUCCCAUAUACCUUUUUCUUUCCUUUUUUCUUUAUUGGAUCCAGAAUAUGAUCCAUACUACCUAGCAGAGGAUCAGUAGUUGAAAUAAACUUAUGCCGAUUUUUAUCACGACCAUCUACAUAUAACGCACUUUGGAGCUUAGUUAUCUCAACCUUUGCUUGAUACAAAUAUUUUCUAGCAAUUUCCUCGAAGUCGACAUCAUUUGCUGCUAAAGUCAUAACUACAAAUGACUCCUUCAUUAAACCAUUUAAGCGAAUUGCCAUAGAGGAUUUUAACGGUUCCUACUUAUUGAUGUACUCCUCAAAUCCAUUACUAUGUUUAGCAUUCUUAGUCUAUCUUUUCAAAAUGUAUUGCUCCGGGAUACAAAAAAAGUUCAAGUCAAAGAACAAAACUCUUAGUGCAUGACAACAUAGCCAACCCAUGGAUUCAAACAUCUGGCAACUACAAAUAAUUGAUUUGUCCAGAGAAUUGAACAGGACGAUUUCAGUUUGCCCACUUUCACCCUUUAAAACUGUAAACUUACUACAAGUCCCAUUAGUAUCAACAUUGACUACUUUUUUGGUUGUCCCUUGCAAAAAUUCAUGUUGAAAUCUGGAAAAAAUUCUUCUGGUGUAAACACUAGCAACAUGCUUUAAGAUCCCACAAUCUUCUAUGAAAAGUUUAGGUUUUCCUCGACACUUGUAAUCCUCAGUUUCCUCAAUAUCACGCAUUUCAGUUGCUCGUUGCUCAUAGUGCUUUACAAAUUCAGUUAUACUCAUUGUCUUGCAUGCCAUUUCUGUAAAGACCCUAUUCGUGCUCUCACUUCUUUGAGUUGAUCUGAUACCUGCAGAGAAAAAAAAAUGACUAAAUGCGGGACACCACUUCGCCCUCAAGUCAUAUAGCUUCUGAAGCCAAGUGGUAUUCCCACAUUCCAAUCACUUAUCAUUUUCUGCCAUAUUAACUCAAAUUUUAUCUCUGAGUGCACCUCCACAGAAGUUUAUCGAAAUAUUCUUUGAAUCCCGAUUUCCAGUAAAGAUAUGGUAUGUUCUUUUGAGCAUUUCUAUCAAUAUGCCAUUCACAUAAUCGAUGACAUGUAUCAGAAAAAACUUCUUUAACGGCAAAUGCUAUGGCAUGAGCUUGAUCGGUAAAAAUUGUUCUUGGUGCUUUUCCUCCCAUUGCCUUCAAAAAUGUUUGAAAUAACCAAACAAAAGAAUCAAUCGUUUCAUCGCACAAUAAUGCACAUCCAAAGAAAACAUUUUUCCAUGAUUAUUCACACCAACAAAUGGAGCACAAAUCAUGUCAUCUAUUUGUACGAUAUCUAGUAUAAAAAAUCAUCACAUCCCCAAAAUACUCAUAGUGCAAUCUAGAUAUGCUAUCUCUCCAAAAGAAGUUGCACAAUCUGCCAUCUUCAUCAACUUGAAAAAAAUAAAAGAGGUUUGAAUCCUCUGCUUGCAAAUGCAUAAAAUGAUUUACCAAAGUUUGAGCAUCUCCACUACUAAUCAUGUUUCUCUUGUGCGCUUGUAUGAAGUUAUGAGCAUCUUGUUCAGUAAAUCCUGCAUUUUCAAUUCCACCAGCUUCAUUCUGAAGGUAUCGAACAACUUUUUUUUGCACGAAUACCAACAUCAACCAUAGAACCAAGAAUGUUUUUGGUAGCACUUGUAAGCUUUCGACCGGAUUGUAUGAAAUGUCUCAAGUUCUCUUCUAUCAUGAGAUGGCUAUGCACAUCAUUGAAUUUACAUAUUUCCCAUGUCCCAUUUGAAAUUUUGAAUUUUAUACGAGCCAGACAACCACAUUUAUAUUCUAACCUUUGUCGCUUUUUUUCUUGAAAAGGGGAAAGCUUGUCAGAUUUCCCUUCACAAGAACAAAGAAAUAAACAUCUAGUAAUUUCUUUGUUUCUAUUAAGAGUUUUUGGUCCUUUUCGAACACCGAACCCUUUUGCCAUGGCGUAGGAAUUGUAUGCAUUGUAUGAUUCUUCUUUAGAACCAAAUUUCAUGCCAAUCUUAAAAGCAAAGUUCUUGUCGAUAUUAUACACAUUAUGUAUCAUUGUGGAAUUUUUCUCAUUAUUUGAAUUGUGAUCUUGGUAAGAAACAAGAGUAGUAGGCACUGUCAUAGUCUCCAUAACGAAAUUAACUCCACCUCUAGCCACUGGUACAAUAGUUUCUGCUGUUUUAGGAAACAAAAGCAAAUCCCUCUUAGAACACAAAAUUAGAAAAUAAACUUAGAGUGAAUUCCCCUCCCUGUCCAGUUAUACAUACUGAAGCUAAGUCCUUGAUAAGAUUUUUUUUUAUUGUUGUCUAUUCUUUAUCACUAAAAGAUUACAGUGAUAUAAUUUAGUCUAUUCUUAGGCACUAUUCUUUAUCACUAUAAUUGUGAAUGAAAUCUUUUGUGCAAAUUUGGCCCACCAUCUCAUUUUAGUACUAAAAGAUUACAGUGAUAAUAAAAGUUCAUAUUGAUCUUAUUUUAAAUUUAUAGUAAACAAUAUUUUUGUAUUGAUAAUUUUUCUUGCAGGUAUGAUAACAAAAUGGAUCAAAUGCAAAAGUCUCAAUGUCAGUGGGCACAAAUUUGUAUUUGUUAACAAGAAGACAUAAAUUUUAUAUUGAUAAGAAGAGUAUUUUGUAAGCACAAUUUUGUAUUUCACACUGAUAUUGACAAGAAGAGUAUUUUGUGAGCACAAUUCUGUAUAUCGAUGAAUAACUUCUAAAGGUUCAGUUUUUAAGCUUUGGCAACUGAAGAUGAAUUUAGAAAGAUGUAAACUAUGAUAAUAAAAGUUAAAAUAAAAACAAGAAGAAGACAGAUAGAUACAAAAUGUAUAUGGAAUAUUACGUUUGGAUAGAAUGCCGUUUUUCUUUGCUUGAAUAUAAAUUUGUUGUGGCCUUCGUUUGGGCUAUGUUGAUCCACAGUUCAAAGAGAUGAGAAAUUUUGUUGGAGUCUAUACUCUAUUGUAAUGACCACAAAUGGUAAUUAAGGAGGGAAAAUUGCUUCCACGUUUUCUC
rnacentral:lncRNA from 1 species